rnacentral:lncRNA from 1 species
CAGAGCAAGGAGUGCUUAACUUGCUGCUUCAAUUGUCUGUAAAGAAAAGCCCAGGCCCUGAUGGAAUCCCCAAUGAAUUCCUGCUCAGAUAUGCAGAGUGGGUUGCCAAAUACCUCACAAAAAUCUUUCAAAUAUCCAUUACCUCGAGUUCUUUCCCGUCCGCUUGGAAAUAUGCCAAAGUUAUUCCGGUCCAUAAGAGUGGUUCUACGUCGGUUGUCAAUAAUUUCCGACCAAUUUCUCUCCUUUGUACAUGUUCUAAGUUGCUUGAGCAUAUUGUAUUUAAACACCUUAUGGAAUAUCUUGAACACAAUAAUAUACUUCAUCCUUCUCAACAUGGGUUCCGAAAAGGCCUUUCUACAAUUACCCAGCUCAUAGAAACCGUUCACGAUCUUUCCGAGGGAAUAAACAGCCGUGGCCAAACUGACAUAUUAUUCUAGGACUUUUCUAAAGCAUUCGAUAAGGUAUCCCAUCCAAAGUUGCUGCUAAAUAUUAAUGCUAUAUUCAGGAACUCCAAAAUAACACACUGGUUUUCUUCCUAUCUCUCCUCCCAAAGUUCAGAAACUUGCUUCCCGUUUUAUUUUCAAUAAAUAUCGCCGAACUGAUUCACCAACGGAAUUAUGUAAAUUAGCAAACCUUAAAAGUUUAGAAUACUGCACUAAGGUAGAUAGGCUGAAGUUUCUUUACCUUUUAAUUCAUGGCCACUUGAAUAUGAACACAUCACCAUAUGUUACAAUACACCCUAAUGAGACAUCAAGACAUCGCCAUUUCAUGUACAUUCCUGUGCCGCCUUCUUAUAACGAUUGUUUUAAGUACAGUUUUUUUUCCUCGUGUUAUUACAGAAUGGAACAUGCUGCCUGAUUCCAUUGUAAAUAUUAACUCCCUCGAUGCCUUUCUAGAAUGCCUGAAAUCUUACCUGGACCGUAGUACACCAAUGUAAUAGUUGUGCCUCAGCACUUGCAUGCGUUUUCUUAUCUACUGUUUGAUUUUUCCUUUGUCUUUUGUGUCGAUAUCGUAGUUGUGAAAUGUACCAUGUUUAGAAUGUGAAUUUAUUGGAUUUUCCACUCCUGUAAUAGCCUGAGAAAGGCUGACAGUAUCAAUGAAUGAAUGAA